GCCGCCAGCACACCGUCGGCGGCGGUCACCGACACCGGUGCAUCCACGGUGACACCGACCGCGCCGUCGGUCACCGACGCGGUGAGCUUCGGAACCAGCAGAUCGGCGAACGGCGUGCCCUUGUCCGCGAUGACCUUGAUCGGUGCGGGUCCGCGGCCGCUGCCGCAUGCGACGGCACCGAUCAUCACGGCGGUCAUCAUCAGCGCGGUUAACCAGGCUCUCCGAACCCUGGUCCUACCCGCCUGAGCUGCAAUCCCCACCUUUGGCAUGCCUUCCCUCACCUCCCCCACUGCGUCGUGACCGAGCUAGACUCGGCUGUAGUCUAGGUCCUGACUGGCCGCCACGCUGCGAUGCUGAUACCAAGUUCAGUGUGAGAUUUCACGCGAGAGCGCAAGGCCUGUUAAUGUGCCUUGGCUAGGUGAUCGAGG
rnacentral:tRNA from 1 species